AAUGCAUUAUGUGGACAUUUCUUAAGUAAUUCUUUUAACCUUUCUCGUGUCUUAUAAAUAGGUUCCUCAUCAAAUUGGGUAAAGGAUGUAAUUUCAUUUCUAAGUUU